AACUCAUCUUGCUCUUUCUAUCUCUGCCCAUUUGAUACCCAGGAAUACCUCAUAACUACUAAGUAUAGAGUAACCCUAAUCCUAACUUCUGUAAGAAUGUUUAAUGUAGCUACACUUUCUAAAAUAGGUCACUCACAAGAAUGACUGAUGCCUUCUUAUAUUCUGAAAAAUGCCAACAAGCUAAUGAAGUCCAUUUCAUCUUUGAAGCCCCGGCCCAUCAAAACUAAUGGUUGUAGCUGAACAAAGCAUUUGUGAAGUUGCACUGAUUUCUGAAUAUAGUUAAAUUUCAGAAAUGUUCCUCAAUGCCAUAAACAAUACAAUCCUGAAGGAAUUGUCCUCUGGAUUAAUUGGUGAGAGAAUAGAAUGAGAGAGAAAGCAAACUCUAUAAACUAUUUGAUAAGAGU
rnacentral:lncRNA from 1 species